CAGUGGUAAGUCCAUCACGCUAGCUAUCAGUCCUUUCAGUCCAAGCCCAAGCUCCGCAUCCGACUCAGGCGCUUGGAUACUCUAGC